GGUCCCAUAGCUCAGUUGGUUAGAGCGUCGUACUAAUAUCUCGAGAUUCGAAAUAUGGAGUCAAUGCGAAGGCCGAGAGUUCAAGCCUCUCUGGGACCA